GUGAGGAAUAUUGGUCAAUGGGCGGGAACCUGAACCAGCCAAGUCGCGUGAAGGAAGAAGGAUCUAUGGUUCGUAAACUUCUUUUGCAGGGGAAUAAAGUGCAGGACGUGUCCUGUUUUGUAUGUACCCUGAGAAUAAGGAUCGGCUAACUCCGUGCCAGCAGCCGCGGUAAUACGGAGGAUCCGAGCGUUAUCCGGAUUUAUUGGGUUUAAAGGGUGCGUAGGUGGUUUGAUAAGUCAGCGGUGAAAGUUUGCAGCUUAACUGUAAAAAUGCCGUUGAAACUGUCGGACUUGAGUGUAAAUGAGGUAGGCGGAAUGCGUGGUGUAGCGGUGAAAUGCAUAGAUAUCACGCAGAACUCCGAUUGCGAAGGCAGCUUACUAAGCUACAACUGACACUGAAGCACGAAAGCGUGGGGAUCAAACAGGAUUAGAAACCCGAGUAGUCC
rnacentral:rRNA from 1 species